AACUGUCAAGAUAACUUAUAGCCUGAUCACGCCUGAUCUCCUUUGAGCUCAGACGCUAAGCAGGGUCAGACCUAGAUAGUAUUGGGUAGAUGAGAGACCAAUGGGGUAUAACAGGUG
rnacentral:rRNA from 1 species